UACAGAGGUGUCAAACGUUGUCCGGAAUUACUGGGCGUAAAGGGCGCGUAGGCGGCCUUAUAAGUCAUAUGUGAAAGCUCUGGGCUCAACCCAGGAAUUGCAUGUGAUACUGUAAGGCUUGAGUUCGGUAGAGGAGGGCGGAAUUCCAGGUGUAGCGGUGAAAUGCGUAGAUAUCAAGAGGAACACCUGAGGCGAAGGCGGGUUGCUAGGCUGACACUGACGCUGAGGCGCGAAAGCCAGGGGAGCAAACGGG
rnacentral:rRNA from 1 species